rnacentral:rRNA from 1 species
CCUACGGGAGGCAGCAGUGGGGAAUCUUGGUCAAUGGGCGCAAGCCUGAACCAGCGACGCCGCGUGAGUGAUGAAGGCCUUCGGGUUGUAAAGCUCUGUGGGGAGAGACGAAAGAAUCGGUUCUAACAGGACCGAAGUUGACGGUAUCUCCUUAGCAAGCACCGGCUAACUCUGUGCCAGCAGCCGCGGUAAGACAGAGGGUGCAAACGUUGCUCGGAAUCACUGGGCGUAAAGGGCGUGUAGGCGGGUAGAUAAGUCGGGCGUGAAAUCCCUAGGCUCAACCUAGGAACUGCACUCGAAACUGUUUAUCUUGAGUGCCGGAGAGGAAAGCGGAAUUCCUGGUGUAGAGGUGAAAUUCGUAGAUACCAGGAGGAACACCAGUGGCGAAGGCGGCUUUCUGGACGGUAACUGACGCUGAGACGCGAAAGCGUGGGGAGCAAACAGGAUUAGAUACCCUGGUAGUCCACGCUGUAAACGAUGAGUGCUAGGUGUCGUGGGUAUUGACCCCCGCGGUGCCGAAGCUAACGCAUUAAGCACNCCGCCGUGGAGUACGGUCGCGAGACGAAACUACAAGAAGUAGACGGCGUGAGACGUGCCGACGGACGACGACGAGGGAGGAGG